GGGAACAAAACCACUUAGGCAAAAACAUCAUAGUUUGGCUUAAAAUUGCUACAUUUGUAAGGUGAAAAUAAAACUUAACAUUGUGAACACAAAGACAAUUAAAACGUUGUUGGUUUCAAACGGAACACGAACAGCGGUCUCCUGGAUGAAAUCACU